rnacentral:rRNA from 1 species
CCUACGGGUGGCAGCAGUGGGGAAUAUUGCACAAUGGGCGCAAGCCUGAUGCAGCCAUGCCGCGUGUGUGAAGAGGGCCUUCGGGUUGUAAAGCACUUUCGGCGGGGAGGAAGGCGGUGAGGUUAAUAACCUCAUCGAUUGACGUUACCCGCAGAAGAAGCACCGGCUAACUCCGUGCCAGCAGCCGCGGUAAUACGGAGGGUGCAAGCGUUAAUCGGAAUUACUGGGCGUAAAGCGCACGCAGGCGGUCUGUCAAGUCGGAUGUGAAAUCCCCGGGCUCAACCUGGGAACUGCAUUCGAAACUGGCAGGCUAGAGUCUUGUAGAGGGGGGUAGAAUUCCAGGUGUAGCGGUGAAAUGCGUAGAGAUCUGGAGGAAUACCGGUGGCGAAGGCAGCCCCUGGACAAAGACUGACGCUCAGGUGCGAAAGCGUGGGGAGCAAACAGGAUUAGAUACCCGUGUAGUC